GAAUUCUGCUGGCCUGUUUCUCCUCACCGGCACUGUCCUGACUCUGUACUGAGCAGGGACCAACAGUGGAUGUGGGAGAGCAUCAUCUACAGCAUUUGGGCGCAGGACCGAAGCAUGCCCCAGGGCAGCCAUGACUUGCUCGGCGUCAGACAGCGAGAAGAUUGUGAUAAACUGCGGCGGGAUCCGACACGAAACCUAUCGGAGCACUUUGAAGACGCUGCCCGGGACACGCUUAUCUUGGCUUACCGAGCCCGACGCCUUCAGCAACUUCGAUUACGACCCUAAGUCGGACGAAUUCUUUUUCGACCGCCACCCAGCCACCUUCGCUUUCAUCUUAAAUUACUACCGCACCGGUAAGUUACAUUGUCCUAACGAUGUCUGUGGACCGUUAUUUGAAGAGGAACUCGCCUUUUGGGGCAUUGAUGAGACUGACGUGGAGGCGUGCUGCUGGAUGAACUACAGGCAGCACCGCGACGCAGAAGAGGCAUUGGACAGCUUUGAGACUCCUGAGCCAGACGUACCCGAGGAUGAUCCGGCGCUCACCGGCGGGGUGGACGGAGACCUAAAGCGGCUGUGCAUGCAGGAGGAUGGCCGCAAAGCGACUUGGUGGGAAGUAUGGCAGCCCAGGAUGUGGGCGCUGUUCGAGGACCCUUACUCUUCCAAAUACGCCCGGUAUGUGGCCUUGGCCUCGCUGUUCUUCAUCCUUCUCUCCAUUUCCACUUUCUGCUUGGAGACCCAUGAGGCUUUCAACACCAUCUACAACAAAACUGAGAAUGUCACUGAAGGCAACGUAACACGUGAGGAGAUUGUAUAUGAAGUUGUCACAGAUGGCUGGCUGACAUAUGUGGAGGGUGUCUGUGUCAUCUGGUUCACUAUUGAGGUGGUGGCACGCGUCAUCUUUUGCCCUGACAAGGCAGAGUUCUUCCGUAGCACCCUUAACAUUAUAGACUUUGUGGCUAUUGUUCCCUUUUACCUGGAGGUAGCACUUAGUGGCCUAUCCUCUAAAACAGCCAAAGAUGUGUUGAGCUUCCUACGCGUGGUACGUUUUGUCCGCAUCCUGCGUAUAUUCAAGCUAACCCGCCAUUUUGUCGGUUUACGGGUCCUGGGCCACACUUUGCGGGCAAGUACCAAUGAGUUCUUGUUGCUUAUCAUUUUCCUGGCACUGGGUGUCCUCAUCUUUGCUACUAUGAUCUACUACGCUGAACGUAUUGGAGCUGACCCAGAUGAUCCAACUGCUGCAGCCCACACCAACUUUAAGAACAUUCCCAUUGGGUUCUGGUGGGCUGUGGUGACAAUGACUACUCUUGGAUAUGGAGAUAUGUACCCUGAAACAUGGUCGGGAAUGCUAGUGGGUGCCCUCUGUGCUUUGGCAGGUGUGCUGACCAUUGCUAUGCCUGUGCCUGUUAUUGUCAACAACUUUGGAAUGUACUACUCGCUGGCCAUGGCAAAGCAGAAGCUUCCAAAGAAGAGGAACAAGCACAUCCCAAGAGCACCACAGCCAGGAAGUCCGAAUUACUGCAAGCCGGAUGCUCUGGCAAUGGCAACUGCUUCUCCACAUAGAUUAAUGGGCAAUGUACUUGGGCCAGGCUUGGUGGAAUCUGGCAGCAUGAUAGGCACUGGGGACUGCCCACUGGCACAGGAAGAGAUCAUUGAAAUAAACAGGGCAGACUCUAAGCAGAAUGGUGAUGCAGCUACCAAUGCAGCAGCUUUGGCCAAUGAGGACUGUCCAACCAUAGACCAAGUUCUCGGGGAUGAGCGCAGUCCAGUCACUGGAGGGCUUGGCUCUACCACUAGUCGCGAAAGAUACCCACACGACCGAGCCUGCUUUCUUUUGAGUGCCGGGGAGUUUCAGCGAACCACCGAUGGGAACGUUCGGAAAGUUGGAGGUGCCAUGAAUGGCUACUGGAGUGACAGCCCAUGGUAAAAGAAGAGCAGAUGCCAAACGCCAGAUAAGAAGAAGGGAACAACGUGGAGGAAUAUUGAAAAAUGGCUGAGAUUAAAGGGAUUACAACAGUUUGAGUGCGCCCUGAACUGCAUCUACCUCUUGACAAAGAUGCACAGAUAUAACAUUGAUACAUUUUUUUUUUGCUUUUUUUAGUCAUAAAGAAAGAGACCGAUAGAUCAUUUUUAUGUUAUCAACAUUCAUUAGCAUUUAUUUGUCUUACCAUCUUUUUCAGUAUUUUUGAUUUCAGAACAAACUAUUAAAGGAUACUCUUUCUCUUUUGUACAUAAUUGAAAUGCUGCUAAUGAAGAAUCAAAUGAUCAUCAUGAUAGGAAGCUAAGCUUUCCCCUAGUCCUACUCCUACAUUCUUCAUUUAUGCUCAUACAUUGUCCUGGGAGAUAAACAGAUUUUACGAAGUCAAAUAUUUGAUUCCUUAUGACUGAUUAGAUGCUACUUGUAAUCUUCUGCCAGAUUCCAGUGAUGCAGCUGAGAACAUGGUUUAGGAGAAUAAAUUGAGAUUAGAGCUAUCGCAAAAAAAUUGAUUAAAACUUAGUUCAUGUUUAUCAUAGAGAUACAACCACAAGGAAGAAAGAAAAGUUAAGACUGAUUAAAAAAUCUCUUCCAGAGGUCACUUAUAUGUCAAAGGGUCACUAAUUCAACACUAAUUGACAAUUAACCACUACUACUUUAACUAAGAUGUAAAAUUAGGAACCCCACCAUUGCUAAAUUCAUUCAGUAAAUUAGUAUUACAGCCAGUUACAUAAUACAAAUAAACAGUAGAUUUGUAUGGUUUGUAUUUGUUUUAUAUAUUGUGUAUGUUUAUAUGUUAUAAAUAAACAUAUACAAUAUAAACAUGUAAAAAUUCUCCACAUUUCGUAAUUUUUUUAUUAUCUUCUUACCUUCCCACAACUGUUCCUAAUGACUAUAAUAGUCACUUUAGUGGAAGGUUCUGCUUGUCACAACACUGUAAAUAUGUAUACGUUUCUGCAUGGUCUUCCAAUGCAAGCAGUAAUUACACAUGUGAAUAUUGCUUUAAGGAAAGUUGACAUUUUAGUUAAAAACAUAAGGAAUGUAUAUAAAACAUUUAAACUACUAUAAGAGUGUAUGCGUCUGGAUGCAUACAAUAAAAACUGGCAUGCAGAACAAAGCUACUGUAAUCUCACCUGAUGCUAGAAGAAGUGGGUCGGGCUAAAAUUACGCAUGCUCAAAUGCUGAUGCUGUUGGUGGGAACAGAUCAACCUACGUACUGUAUUGGGGAUAGGUAAGGGGGGAGACAUAUUAUUUUUUCAGGAUGGGAAGGGGUACCAUUUAUAAUAACUGCUAUGAAGCUGCUUUGUUAUAGAUUUUGAGAUUUUUAUUUGCUUUUCUAUUCAAGGAAAACUGUUGAGAAAUGUAUGUAUUUUUUAGAUAUAUGCAGGUAAAUGUAGAAGUUGAACUAAUCUGAAGAAACUAAAAAACGGUCAAAAACAUUUUCAACUCGACUCCUCUGCUGCAAGUGAACAAAACUGUCUCCUUCCAAGACUGCUUCUCACCAAAGUUCCUCGUUCAUAGUUUGGACUCAGCAUUUUAGUUGUUUUUAAUCUACAAUAUACUGUUAUUUAUGGUAUCAUUUAGAUGGCCGUAAGUUCAGAAAAUAAACACAUCAAUAAAAAACUUACAAUUAUGCAGUUUAACACUGAAAAAAUGUAUGACAGUUAACCUGUUCCCUCAGGCAAAAAUGGAUUGUGGUUCAUUUUAGUGCACCUCCACAUCUUUUAUAAUCCUUCUUUCCUAUUUAUUUGAUUUGAAAUGGUUUUUUGCCAUUGACAGUUGGGUAGUUGGGACAUAUUUUUAGCCUGACUAUAAUCCAUGAUUCUGCCAAGAUUUUAUUUCAACUUUGAUUUAUGAUCCAGGCAAGAGAUUGUGUAAGAGUUCGAAUUCAACGAAGAUUAAACAAAUCUGAAAUUAUUAAAUUAUCUCUUCUGACAGGAAAGUUUGUUAUAGAGUGUAGUGCUCUACGAUAUUUAUCUCAGAUGGAUUCAACAAGUUAAAAGAAACAGUGGGGCUGAAGGAACCUUUCCAAUGUGUUUUUUUUUUUUUUUUUUUGUGUGUUAUAAUUGCUAUUUUUUAGCUUCUGUCCAUUUUGCUAAUGUUUCUUGUGUUUUCAUUCAUUUACAACUCAGGUAUCUAUUUUCCAUAUGAUUCCUUUCUGUAAUGUUUCCCCAAUUAUGCAUUGUAUGUAUAAAAAACAAAAGACUGGAGAACAAAAAAAAUGAACUCUUUUGUGCAUGUUUAUGCUACAUGUUCUAGCCACCAAAAUGCUAUUUUAAAUUCACUAUUUGUCCUGCCUCCUUCCUCCUUGUGAGGUCCCCUUUAUUUCCCACCACAAAUAAUAAAUCAUCACUUCUGUGAGACACCAGCCUACCAUGCACACAAAAACAAUUAAAGAAAAUGGCUAAAUGGAGUAUGUUUUGCACAUGGAGAAAAAAACUGACUCAAAGGGUGACCUCACUGAGGAGGGGACAGGAAUAGUGAAUACCAUAAUAAAAGAAUAAAGUCAAAUGAUACUGAAGAAGAGAAUAGGUGUACAUGCUUUAAAAUGUUGUGUUCUGAGUAUUCUAUCAACUGAGCAACGUCGAAGUGAGGAGAUGGAGAAGGAAAAGUUCUGGGCAAGACAGAAAAAUGUGAUGAAAUGAUGGAGGACAGAAAGAAACAAAGGAAAAUUCCGUUGAUCAUUGCUGAGCUUCUAACUCAACCACCACAAUCUCAUAAUGAAGAGGAAAACAGUAAAUAGGUCUGCUGUUCCACUUUUCCCUAAUAUUUUCAAAGUAGAAACUGAAAGGAAAGACCAAGAGAAGAGAAAGGAGUUUUACAGAUGCCCUUCAACCUGAUCAUUUCCAUUAUCAUAUGCAACACAAAAGAAAAAACCCUUUUAAUUAUGAGCCCUUUUGAAUCUUUUCACGACUUUUGAAGCAAAUGAUGAAGCAAAGCACAGAAGGAGCUUCCCAAAUUAAUAUCUUGAAAGCUGGGGUCUGGAGGCCAUCUACCAGAAGGUCACUAUUUCCACAGCUGUGUAUAAUUAUUGCUUUACUGAUGCCAUCUUUUAUUUCAAAUAACUCUAGUCACAUAUUUUGGUUUCUGUCAUUUUUUGAGAUUUUCAGCUUUAUAAAGGACCAUGAAUGCUUAACAAUUUUGAGUACAGCCUCUUGCAAAGUUCCUACUGUUCGACUCUCUAACUAAUCAGUACUAAGCUACAGGACCUAUAAGAAUAAACAGGGGUAUAUUAGAUUAGGGAAAAUGCAAGCUAUCCCCCCAGUCUUGCAGUACACUGUAAAUGUUAUCUUGAGACAUCCCAAAUCAUAAUGUCCAUUUUUACCAACUUUGACAGAAUUUAACCAAAGGCAAACACUUGGAUGGGUAUAUCAGAUGGUACAAGCAGAAACUCAUGCAGACAUUAACAUUUGCAUAACAAGAAAACGAGUCUUUCACUGAAGAUUAAGAUGCAACUGGAUCUCUUUUUUUCUUUGCUUUUUCCAAUGUUUUUAUCCCACCUCCACUCCCUUCCCUUCAUUGAAACUGCUCCUCAUCUCUAGCAAAUGUUGCAUGGCAUGAAUUGAAACAACUGCCACCAGAAAAAGGCAAUUAGAAGAAUGAGUAAAAUGAGAGGAAAGAUAUAUUAGAGAAAUAACAUCAUAUUUUUUCCACUUGGUAAUUUUAGAAAAAAUUACCAAGUUACCAAGUUAAACCCCCUAACUUGUUGUUAUAAUAAGAAAAAGACACAUAUCCUAAGGAAACAGCACUUUCUAGAGACAUAAUGAAUGAAGAAGAACUCCUGUGUCCCUUUAGCAAAUGAAGAGGAACAGAGAUUCUGCAGACCAUGUUCCCCCCAGGAUGUGAAAGAAGACAGACUUUGUUAAGAAAGCAGGUCAUCAGCAAUAUUAGAAGAGCGUCUCUGCUAAGAUAUUCUAGGAACAAAAAUGACAUUGAUUUUUCAAGGCAUUGUUCACCAGCAUGAAUAUUUUGCAUGUCUUCUGCAAGCCACUGAUCUCUCCUUAUGAAUAACAAUUCUAAAAAUGUAAGUGUGUCUACUUUGAACUGUUUGUGUUUAAAUGCCACAGACUGUACUGACAGUCAGAUUUAAUAAUAGUACGAUGCCUAAAAAAUGCUGUGCGUAUUACAAGAAAGGAUAGCUACAUGAUACAUGGAAACCCUUUCUUUGUAUAUAUUCUGGUAUGUAUUCUGGUAGUGCUAGAUCAUUCUUCUGUUUCUACUAUUACUUCCAACAGGGCUGCUUUUCUACUUCCUUCCCACACCACUUCUUCUGUUCAUUCUUCUUCUUGUGGCCUUUAUCAAAACCUUGGACUAUACAAUGACAGCUGUGUUUGCCUGUGCCAGUAACCAGAUGCAAACCUAUUAGUUCAAACUAAACUUAGCUAUCACUGAUUCUUUGAGUCUGAACUGAAAAUUUCUGUUGUCCCUUUACAUGGAUUUUCCUGUUUGACCCAGGUAUCUAAGAUAUCAGUCUGCUCUUGAAACCUGGUCAAAGCAUUUGCAAAGGGAUUUUUCUCACCACAACAUUUCUGUUUGUUUGACUCUGUAAUGUUUCUCUGUCAGGAAAUGGGGUAAAAAAAAAAAAAAACCAUUAAAAAAUACAAUAAUAAGGUUUAUCUGUUAUGCAAAUUACAUAAAAUGAUAAAAUACCCUGAAGUAAGAACAAACACACAGCUGUGUGGAACCAUUUUAGAAAUAUCAAAUUCAAAAAGCUGGCAUCGCAAUAAAAUGUAAUAUAUUAAGAUAAUAUGCUUCAGAUUCUUAACAAUUUUAAUUUAUUGCCAAAAUAUAAACUAAAUACAGAAACAUUCUUAGAUAUCUAUACAUAUAAAUCUGAAAACAAUAUAUAGAUAUGAACUUAUUUAAUUACAAAAUUAUUAAAUUAAACAUAUUUCUCCCAACAUUCAGAGAUGAUCUUUUCUUUACUGUCAAAUGGGCACUUGUAUUGCAGUCAGAUUUUUUAUUUAAGUUCAGAUCUUGCUCUUUUUCUCAGAUAUUUCAUGGAAAUGCAUUUCUCUAAGCAGCUAUCAGCUACACAGUGUAUCAUAAACACAUUUUUGAAAUAAGUAAUAAAUCCCAAACAACAAAAUCUUAGUUGUUCAAACAUUCUGGGAGCAAUCAAAGAACUGUAGUCUCUAAACCCUGAGGGAUUCAGGGAGUGAAAUGUUUUAGAGAAAAUUCCAGAGUGGAAGCUUUCCGCUUUAUUCUUUUUUUUUUUUUUUUGUACAAGUAGCUCAGUGUGGAAACCAGUUGAUUUGUUUUAAUCAUGCUUGUACUUCCAUGUUUUACUGUAACACUGACAUGAGUUAGUUUUGUGAGCUGCUAAUUUGUUCAACUACAUUUACUGAUGAGAAAGGAAAGGACAGUAGAGGAAAAAAAAAAAACAGGCUCAGAGGCAAUCAAUUUGGUCAAGUACCCACACUUUUUCAUCAAAUGUCUGGAGAGGUUGAUACGUUUUAUAUCAGAGAAAUUUAAUUUUUGAAUUAUUGGUAUUCUGAUUUUCCAAGAUGCUUUAUUUAAUUUAUGUGUUCCAUAUCAUGUGGUGUUUGGUUUGUCUAUGGGAACUUUGUGUGAACUGUUCUGGAGCUGUGACAUUGGCAAUGUUCUCUUAAUCUUUAAAAUGAAAUAGAAUUGUGUGGGUUAACAAUAUGGGGACAGGCCUUUUCAUCCCUUUGCAAUGUAACUUUAGCCUUUUUGUAUGUCAUUUUCACAGUUUAAGAUGGAGGUAUCUAUCAUGGGACAUUUCAUACUACCCACCAGGGAACUAUUUGCAUCUGCUUUAAUAAUCAGUGAUUUCAAGUCAUUUUCUAUAAUUAAAGCUUCGUCUGUAAGAAAAUGCAAUUAGGCUCCAAAAAAUAAUCACUGGCAGCAGAAGGCUACUCAGAGUUAUCUUUAUUUGAUGGAGGGUCAUAAUCUCAUGUUUUUGUCAACAGUCCUAAAUGUGGAUCAGAACAACUGUCAAUGGGAAUAGGUGUAAUUUUAAAUCCUCAUAAAAUAAACAAAUAAAUAAAAUUAAACAUGAAAUUAGAAUUUUUUACAGAUCUUUCUCUUCAUAAUUCACCAGAACACUUAACUACCCAGAGAAAAAACCUAAUACCCAAUAGUUUCAUAGAUAUUAUGAAAUGGUUUGUUGACUGUAUGUAAUGGAAGUAAGUUGGCACUAAAUGGCAGCUCAUGUGCAUGAAUUGUGGUUUAAAUUAGCAAAGGGGUGAAUUGACCUGGAACCUGAAAAUAGUCUAGUUUUUGUCUUUUAUUACUUGUGCAGGCCUUUUAUUUUGUACCAGAUAAACAUAACAUAUAACUUAAAUAUUCCUUCCCAUCUGUUUGCUUUCCUUAAACAGAGUUGAGCAAGUUAUGAUGAAAAAGGUCUUCACAGUAAUAAACAAGAAAUACUGUGAAAUAAUUUUUUGCUAAGGGCUAUAGAAGUCUUUGUAGAAUUCUAGUAUUUUUGGUAAACUUGCUAUAAUAGUAUUUCCUAAUGUUUUGCAUUGAAAGUUUAUACAGAAUCUUCACCUAAAAAAUUGAAAACAGGGUUGAUUCUGGCUGAGUAAAACUACCAUAAGUCUAACUUUGUUUGUAUUCACACUGAAAACAAUCUAGAAGUGAGCUUUGUACCCGUUGUGUACUUGAUUAAUAGCAAACUUUGUCAAGUCUCAGCAUGCACGAUGAAAUAUUUCAAAGUUACUUCACCACCUGCAAGAUGUUGGGCAGAAUCAAGUUUGUAAACUGAAGUUCAAGCAAAGUUUACAAACUCAAAAGCUAUGUCAUAUCUGCAAAACAUAAGUUGUAGCAUUUACUUGAUAUGCAAGCAGGCUAUCUAAAUGAAGUAUUAAAUGUUUGGUUUUAUUGUCUCAUUUUAUUUUGCUGUUUAAUUGCAAAUGUCUGUUUCUGAUGGAUGGUUAAAAACAAAUAGCAUUAUAACUAAAUCAACAAAGAACAGCUUUCUCAGGAAUAUUUUGUAUUAAAAUCAGACAUACAAUGUGAAAUAUUAUGAUGAUGCUGUAUAUAUUUUCAACAGUACCAAUUCUAACUUCAGAUAAAUAUUCAGAUUAUUUCAAACUGUUGAUUUGGAUCUGCCCAAUUUUACUUGAAGCCUUGAGGUAGAUUUUUCAGUCUAAACUGUAUGUAGCUACCCCUUCAGACCGCUGUAAUUUGUUUCAUCUUCUGUAGGAUGAAAAGUAAUUCCUACCUAUUUAUGUCAACAAAUCAAGCAAAUGUUUUCUGUAUGUGUUUCAAGCAGAAAAAGUAUCUGAACAUCAGUGACAUUUUUGUGGCAUGGAAUUAUAAAACUGUGAUCACAUAUAGACCAGUAAGAGAAUCUAUAAAGGCUUUGGUAAACAAGCAUGCAAUUAACAUACUUAAAAGACUAUGCAAUUACUAGGUUCAGCUUUUUGUGUAUUAUUUUACAAGACACACCUGAUCUUGGUCAGGUUGGAUAAUUAAUUUAGACUUGUAGCGAAUUGCUAAUGCAGCCCCAGCUUCAUUGAUUGGUUUUUGUCAAAAGAUGUUUAAAGUUGCAGAAAGGGAAAUCUUUUGCCACGUACAUGUAUUUAUAUAUAUAUAUAUAUAUGUAUAUACAGUACUGUGCAAACGUUUUAGGCAGGUGUGACAAAAUGGUGUAAACAAAGAAUGCUUUCAGAAAUAUAAAUGACUAUUUAUUUUUAUCAAUUUCACAAAAUGCUAAGUGAGCGAACCUAAACAUUCAGCCAAAGUUAUUAGGAGCAAUCUUCAGCGUAAAUAACAACAAGACUUACUGGUAUGGUAUGAUCCCCACAGAGCCCUGAUCUUAACUUCAUCCAGCGUGUCUGAGAUUGCAUGAAGAGACAGAAGGAUGUGAGAAAGCCUACAUCCACAGAACAUCUGUGGUUAGUUCUCCAAGAUAUUUGGAACAACCUACCAGCCGAGUUCCUUCAAAAACUGUGUGCAAGUGUA